CCGAGUUUACAACUCCCAAACCCCUGUGAACAUACCUAUAUGUUGCCUCGGCGGAUCAGCCGCGCCCCGUAAAACGGGACGGCCCGCCGCAGGAUCCACAAACUCUGUUUUAUUGUAACUUCUGAGUAACAAAACAAAUAAAUCA
rnacentral:misc_RNA from 1 species